UCCUAACCCUGCUCCUGUCUGAUUGAACCCUUUCAUUCUUUCUCUCUGCAGGUACACUUUCUCUACUAUCUGACCCAGGUGUUUCAGUGACUUGCCAUGAAGUCCUCCUGCAGAAACCACACUCAGUUUGCCCCUGAAAGUGAGUCAGGAAAUCAAGCAACAAUGCAGAAGGCGAUGCAGCACCUCAGCAACCAGUCACACACAGUAGGGUACAGUCCAGUGGUGAAGGGACAGGGGAGGAGGGAAAGAAUUUUAUUUAAAAAAAAGAAAAGAACAGAGAAUGAAAUAAAUCAACCUACAUGGAAAGCAAAACUGCCAGCUCUUGAGGGUUAAUGUUUAAAAACACAAUUAACUUCCUCCAGUCCAAACCUUUGCCCAAUGCAAUAACAACUUUUUCUCCCCAAAAACUAGGUAUCUGAUUGUCAUCAGCACUGAAAGACUGCUCUGGUAACCUUCAAGAACUAUCUUAAAUCCAAACCUCCUCUGUGACACACUAGCAGAGCAUGGUGGUGACAAAUAUAUUGAAUUUCUGAUUUUAUUCUUUUUGGUGCCGGGCAUCGAAUUCAGGACCUUGCGCUUGCGAGGCAGGCGGCAGAACCACUGAGCUUAAAUCCCCAGCCCUGAAUCUUUUUUUUUGUUUUUGUUUUUGUUUUUGAGACAGGGUCUCACUGUGUAGUUGAGAUUGACCUGGAACUCACUAUGUAGCCCACGCUGGUCUCCAACUCACAGUGAUCCUCCCGCCUCAGCCUCCCGAGUGCAGGGAUUACAGGCGUGCGCCACCACGCCUGGCUCCUGAAUUUCUGAUUUUAACAAAGCAUAAAACAAGUCCUGGAAUAGAAUAAAUUGUAUUGCACGGAAUAAGACAUUUUCAUGAGUAUUUUGAAGGAGGCACAAGUGUAGUGUGAGUAUGUGUAUAGACUUCUUAUACUUAACCUAAAUCAAGAGUUGGUAAAGUAUAGCCCAGGGC
rnacentral:lncRNA from 1 species